CGAACACUGGCGGCGUGGAUUAGGCAUGCAAGUCGAACGGGAAAGCUCCCUUCGGGGAGUGAGUAUAGUGGCGAACGGGUGAGUAACGCGUGGGAAACCUGCCCUUCAGCGGGGGAUAACAGGCCUAACGGCCUGCUAAUACCGCAUACGUCCCUAGGUCCGCAUGGUCCUGGGAAGAAAGGUGGCCUCUCUUUAGAAGCUGCUACUGAAGGAUGGUCCCGCGUCCCAUUAGCUUGUUGGUGGGGUAAUGGCCUACCAAGGCGACGAUGGGUAGCCGGCCUGAGAGGGUGUCCGGCCACACUGGGACUGAGAUACGGCCCAGACUCCUACGGGAGGCAGCAGUCGAGAAGCUUCGGCAAUGGGCGAAAGCCUGACCGAGCGACGCCGCGUGAGCGAAUGAAGGCCCUAUGGGUUGUAAAGCUCUGUCAGAUUGGGAAGAAAACCUCGUGGUUAAUACCCGCGAGGCUUGACGGUACCAUCAGAGGAAGCACCGGCUAACUCC
rnacentral:rRNA from 1 species